GCAACGCUCCUUCACGCUUUGUCGCUCGUAUAAGCGCGUGGAACAAAGUUUUUGCCAGCAAUCUCCUUCUCCAACGUCAACUUGAUUUCUCCAGCUAGUCUUUGGUAUUAUUCCAAUUCUGUUUGACACUUCUGUUUGCACAAUCUUUUGUUCAUUUCUGGUUAGUGCAUUCUGUUUAGUCAUGGCUGAAAGUAAGUCUAUAGUUGAGACUGUUUCAGUUGUUAGCAAGAUUACUGAUCACAAGUUGAAUUGGACAAACAUUUUGGAUUGGAGAAAAACUAUCUGUAUCUAUUUACGAAGUAUUGAGAAGGAAGAACAUCUGACAAAAGAUCCUCCAACUACGGAUACUCGCCAAGCAUGGUUAAGAGAUGAUGCACGGCUAUUCUUACAAAUUCGCAACUCUAUUGAUAGUGAGAUCAUUCCCUCUGUGAAUCACUGUGAAUUUGUGAAGAACUUAAGGAUUAUUUAGAAUUCUUGUACUCGGGGAAAGGAAAUAUCUCUCCUGCUUAUGAAGUUUGCCAAAGCUUUUUAUCGUGCUAAAAAGAAGGACCAACCUCUCAAAUCUUACUUUAUGGAUUUCAAACAAACUUAUGAGGAGUUAAAUGUGUUAAUGCCCCUCAUCACUGCUUUGAAGGUUCAGCAAGUUCAACGAGAACAAAUGGCUGUCAUGAGCUUUCUUAUUGGUCUUCCACCAGAAUAUGAGACUGUUCACUCCUAGAUCUCAUCUGGAUUCGAGAUCUCUAGUCUUCAGGAUGUCUUCUCCCGUGUUAUGAGGAUUGAAAACCUCUCAUCACUACCUACUAGUAUUCCUGCAAGCGCUCUUAUCAGUCGAGGUCAAACUGAUAGUUGUGGGUCAUUUAACCGUGGUGUUUCUAAGCACGGGGAAGCUAACAAGGUGUCUAGUGUAAUAGUGUGUUAUUACUGCAAGGAGCUGGGCCAUACAAAAUGUACUUGUUGCAAGCUACAAAACAAGUAGUCAAGGAAUAAUUCCGCAUUGGUGGCAUCAUCAUCAACUGAUGACCAGUUCUCCAAGUAUCAAGAAUCACUAAAAUUUGCCUCAUCAACUAUGAGUGCUCUUGCUGCUACAGGUAAUAAUGAUAAAUGGAUCAUAGAUUCAGGAGCCAUUGAUCAUAUGAUAGGUAACCGUCAUCUCUUCUCCACUUAUAACUCAUACGCCAACGCAUCUAGCAUCACAAUCGCUAAUAACUCAUACUCUCAUGUCCUUGGCUCUGGCAACUGUUGAACCCACUCCUUCUAUUCACUUAUCUUCCAUGCUAAAUAUUCCUGACCUUGCGUAUAAUCUUCUUCUAGUAAACUCACUUGCCGUUUAAAUUGUUGUCUCACUCUUUUCUGAUCAUUGCUUGAUUCAAGAUCUUACGAUGAAGCAGAUUAUUGGUAGAGACUAUGAAUCUGGUGGCCAUUAUUUUCUUAAAGAUACGCUGCCUUGCUCAGUGGCUUGUUCCAGUGGUUUAAAUCCCUUUGAAGUACAUUAUUGUUUGGAUCAUUUGUCUUUGUCUUCCAUUGAAAAGAUUUAUCCUCAAUUUGCAAGUCGUGUCAGUUUGUGAAACAUCACUGCCUCCCU